ensembl:ncRNA F38B7.13 ncRNA
CCAUGAAAAGUAGAAUUCCGCUGUUACCAGAGCAUUGCGGGGAAAAAUCUGGGAGCCAAGAUAAAUAUUCGACGUAGUAGAGGAUGUAGCAAUUGA